UUUCGUGGGGGAUAACGUAGGGAAACUUACGCUAAUACCGCAUACGACCUACGGGUGAAAGCGGAGGACCUUCGGGCUUCGCGCGAUUGAAUGAACCGAUGUCGGAUUAGCUAGUUGGCGGGGUAAAGGCCCACCAAGGCGACGAUCCGUAGCUGGUCUGAGAGGAUGAUCAGCCACACUGGAACUGAGACACGGUCCAG
rnacentral:rRNA from 1 species